UCUUUUUCCACCGGAGCUUGCUCCACCGGAAAAAGAGGAGUGGCGAACGGGUGAGUAACACGUGGGUAACCUGCCCAUCAGAAGGGGAUAACACUUGGAAACAGGUGCUAAUACCGUAUAACAAUCGAAACCGCAUGGUUUUGAUUUGAAAGGCGCUUUCGGGUGUCGCUGAUGGAUGGACCCGCGGUGCAUUAGCUAGUUGGUGAGGUAACGGGGCGACGAUGCAUAGCCGACCUGAGAGGGUGAUCGGCCACAUUGGGACUGAGACACGGCCCAAACUCCUACGGGAGGCAGCAGUAGGGAAUCUUCGGCAAUGGACGAAAGUCUGACCGAGCAACGCCGCGUGAGUGAAGAAGGUUUUCGGAUCGUAAAACUCUGUUGUUAGAGAAGAACAAGGAUGAGAGUAACUGUUCAUCCCUUGACGGUAUCUAACCAGAAAGCCACGGCUAACUACGUGCCAGCAGCCGCGGUAAUACGUAGGUGGCAAGCGUUGUCCGGAUUUAUUGGGCGUAAAGCGAGCGCAGGCGGUUUCUUAAGUCUGAUGUGAAAGCCCCCGGCUCAACCGGGGAGGGUCAUUGGAAACUGGGAGACUUGAGUGCAGAAGAGGAGAGUGGAAUUCCAUGUGUAGCGGUGAAAUGCGUAGAUAUAUGGAGGAACACCAGUGGCGAAGGCGGCUCUCUGGUCUGUAACUGACGCUGAGGCUCGAAAGCGUGGGGAGCAAACAGGAUUAGAUACCCUGGUAGUCCACGCCGUAAACGAUGAGUGCUAAGUGUUGGAGGGUUUCCGCCCUUCAGUGCUGCAGCUAACGCAUUAAGCACUCCGCCUGGGGAGUACGACCGCAAGGUUGAAACUCAAAGGAAUUGACGGGGGCCCGCACAAGCGGUGGAGCAUGUGGUUUAAUUCGAAGCAACGCGAAGAACCUUACCAGGUCUUGACAUCCUUUGACCACUCUAGAGAUAGAGCUUCCCCUUCGGGGGCAAAGUGACAGGUGGUGCAUGGUUGUCGUCAGCUCGUGUCGUGAGAUGUUGGGUUAAGUCCCGCAACGAGCGCAACCCUUAUUGUUAGUUGCCAUCAUUUAGUUGGGCACUCUAGCAAGACUGCCGGUGACAAACCGGAGGAAGGUGGGGAUGACGUCAAAUCAUCAUGCCCCUUAUGACCUGGGCUACACACGUGCUACAAUGGGAAGUACAACGAGUCGCAAAGUCGCGAGGCUAAGCUAAUCUCUUAAAGCUUCUCUCAGUUCGGAUUGUAGGCUGCAACUCGCCUACAUGAAGCCGGAAUCGCUAGUAAUCGCGGAUCAGCACGCCGCGGUGAAUACGUUCCCGGGCCUUGUACACACCGCCCGUCACACCACGAGAGUUUGUAACACCCGAAGUCGGUGAGGUAACCUUUUGGAGCCAGCCGCCUAAGGUGAUUGGGGG
rnacentral:rRNA from 1 species